rnacentral:lncRNA from 1 species
AAGUAAGGUAAGAAUCUGUGGUUCGAUUCCUGGCUCCCCUGGCUCAUUUGCCGACGUGUCCUUGGGCAAGACACUGAACCCCAAUUUGGCCACCCUACCGGAGAAGCCCCUUGUUUAAUAAAUCAUUUUGAAAUCACACGCUCAUUGUCUAUCAAGACAUGAAUGCAAAAUCCAACCAAUGAGUAAAUUAAUAAAUUAUGAGUCAAUAAAUAAAACAUGAGUGAAAAAAAAAAUACACACAGUUUCUGCUCAGCAGUUUCAACUGAAAGGUGGCGUUGGUGCAAAGAGGAGCUGCAACGCCAACCUCCACCUGUGGGAGCAGCACUGAGCCAAAAGACGAAGGAGGAGGAAGAAGAAGAAGAAGCUCUAACUCACUGCAGAAGCCAUGUGCUGAUAACAGAAUCAUAAAAGCAGCCUCCAGGAGCCUCUCAUCAACUCAGACCAAGAGCUGCUCCCGUUCUUUGGUUGCCAGACACACUGACCUGCAGCGGACCAGGGGAAACACUGGUGACACCGCAGCAUUGGAACGCCACGCGAACUACACGUGCAGGGGCAUCGGCUCCACGUUUCGGACGCAACGCAUGACGCCACAGCUGUUUCAGUCGAGUGACGCGAGCUGGUUGACGAUGUGAGGGUCACCGCG